UGAGACAGCCUGUGUCCUUACUCCUUAGAGACCAAAGCAUACAGCACUCUUCUUAAAGACAAGGCGUUUGGAACUGUAGAUAUUGGAUUGGCCCCCACUUUUAACAGCCCAAAACCAUCUUGAAGUGUGGCUUCCAUGUAGUGCUUUCUUAUUUUCCUCUCUUUUCUAAAAUUUUUGUCCAAUUCUUAAGUGCUUUUCAGGCUCUCAUAAUAGCCCACCGUUUCUUUUCUGUCAGGGUUCGCUGUUUUCCACAUGCAGAUCAAGCCGUCUGGAUGACCCUUCUAGGUGCCUAAAUUGAAACAUGACCCGUUCACCCUUUUCCAUUGACUUUCCAAAGCAAUGAGGGUAUGGAAGGGACUGCAGAGAUUUUUGAGAGUGAUGUUUUCCAUCUUCCCGCGCUGCCAGUUGAGAGGACAAAAUUCGAAAGACAGUUACGUGGUAGGCUAUUCCUCGGAAGUCACUCAUGUCAGGCUUCUCGGAUACACAACUAUGCUGCGCGGCUGUCAGCGUUGUGGUCUCAUUCAACACUGGAGACUUUGGCGCCAUCCCUGCGGACACCACUUCUGCCGUGAGUGCAUGGAUCAGAUCAUAGAUGAUGGUUUCCGCGACAUCGAGGGGCUUGGCUCAAGUCCCUGUCCACAGUGUAAAUCAGUUAUAGCCUAUUAAAUGUGUAAUCGUGACUGUAUGUUAGUGCCUUUUUCUGACUUUGUGUAACCUUUUCUUUUUCUAUGCACUUUGUAGUCCCUGCAUGUCUCUAUUGCCCAGGCAAUUCAGCAGAACUAUGAUAUCAUCAAGACAAAGGACAAGCAAUACUACUUCAUCACUUAUCUAGUCAGUCAGAUCAGAUUUUUAUUGUCAUCUUUAAAACAUUCUAUUCUAUGCAUUAAUGAGUGUGUGUAGGAUGACAAGGUUACAAUCAAUGACAUGACUAUAUCUGAAUAUAACAAUCUAAAUUUAGCUGAUGCUAAACUCCAUCCAAUACAAACAACUAUUUAAGAAUAUUAACAACUCGGGCUCCUAGGCAAGGUUGGAGAGAAACUGAUUGCAUGUAAUCAUGUACAUGUAAUCUGAUUACAAAAAAAGUAGUUCCAGCUAAAAUUGUGUAAUCAGGUUACAGAUACUUUGAAAAACUAGAUGAUUACUCCUUGGAUUACUUGCUUGCGACAAAAUACAUUAACACUUUUCCUUUCCUCAAUGACAUUCAAUUCAGCCUUGAAAAAAUGGGCAAAUUUAGUUUGUUCCACCUGAGCGAGUCUGACCACAAAUUAGAGACCACUAUGAUGACACACCAA